CUCUGGGCUUCCUGCCUGCCCUGCUGCGAGCAGUUCUCUGCCACGCCAUCCUGCACGGUGGCUGCAACCUCUACACAAUGCAAAAGGACGUGGAUCAUGACCCUCCAGAUGCCCGGGAAACCAGCUGUCGGAGGCCCGCUCUCAUCCUGCUCCAAGGCUGGCAGGUUGUUCUCCAACUGAUUAGCCCGGCCCCAGGCUCAGGGCACAACUCUUUCAUGGUCCACAUGGCUGUGUCUUCCUGAGGGAACAUGAGGCCGGUGAAAAGAAUGAGUGUGUACUUGCUGCAGGUUCUGGGUGCUCGAGCUGGUACCCGUCCUUUCUCUCCUCUACCUUCCAUUUGAAAUUCAUCUCACUCUCAGCUACCAUUUGGGCUUAUCUGGUGCUGUGACCCAAAACAUCUUCAGAGGAUCUGAACACAAGACAGAUGUACUCCUGUUUGGGCUCAUUCCUGAAGAUAGUGAGUGAAUAGGGGUCUAUCCACGUGAGGAUAAAGUGCUGGGCCUAUUAGGACAGAACAGGUG